rnacentral:rRNA from 1 species
AACGAACGCUGGCGGCAGGCCUAACACAUGCAAGUCGAGCGCCCCGCAAGGGGAGCGGCGGACGGGAGAGUAACACGUGGGAAUUUUCCUCAAGGUACGGAACAACUCAGGGAAACGUGGGCUAAUACCGUAUGAUGCAGAGAUGACAAAGAUUUAUCGCCUUGGGAUAAGCCGGCGUCAGAUUAGGUAGUUGGUGGGGUAAUGGCCUACCAAGCCUGUGAUCUGUAGCUGGUCUGAGAGGACGAUCAGCCACAUUGGGACUGAGACACGGCCCAAACUCCUACGGGAGGCAGCAGUGGGGAAUCUUGCGCAAUGGACGAAAGUCUGACGCAGCCAUGCCGCGUGAAUGAUGAAGGUCUUAGGAUUGUAAAGUUCUUUAGCCUGUGACGAUGAUGACGGUAACAGGAGAAUAAGCCCCGGCUAACUUCGUGCCAGCCGCCGCCGUAACAC